GUCCACGCCCUAAACGAUGUCAACUGGGUGUUCGGGAAGCGAUUCCUGGGUACCGUAGCUAACGCGUGAAGUUGACCGCCUGGGGAGUACGGCCGCAAGGUUAAAACUCAAAGGAAUUGACGGGGACCCGCACAAGCGGUGGAUGAUGUGGAUUAAUUCGAUGCAACGCGAACAACCUUACCUACCCUUGACAUGUCCGAGAGCCCGCUGAGAGGUGGGUGUGCCCGAAAGGGAAUCGGAACACAGGUGCUGCAUGGCUGUCGU
rnacentral:rRNA from 1 species